CCUACGGGGUGCAGCAGUGAGGAAUAUUGGUCAAUGGGAGAGAUCCUGAACCAGCCAAGCCGCGUGAGGGAAGACGGCUCUAUGGGUUGUAAACCUCUUUUGUCGGAGAACAAAACCCGGGACGUGUCCCGGACUGCGUGUAUCCGAAGAAAAAGCAUCGGCAAACUCCGUGCCAGCAGCCGCGGUAAUACGGAGGAUGCGAGCGUUAUCCGGAUUUAUUGGGUUUAAAGGGUGCGUAGGCGGUCCGUUAAGUCAGCGGGAAAAUUGCGGGGCUCAACCCCGUCGAGCCGUUGAAACUGGCAGACUUGAGUUGGCGAGAAGUACGCGGAAUUCGCGGUGUAGCGGUGAAAUGCAUAGAUAUCGCGCAGAACUCCGAUUGCGAAGGCAGCGUACCGGCGCCAGACUGACGCUGAGGCACGAAAGCGUGGGGAUCGAACAGGAUUAGAUACCCUAGUAGUC
rnacentral:rRNA from 1 species